GGUGGGAUUACCCGCUGAACUUAAGCAUAUCAAUAAGCGGAGGAAAAGAAACUAACAAGGAUUCCCCUAGUAACGGCGAGUGAAGAGGGAAAAGCCCAAAUUUGUAAUCUGGCUCUUUCAGAGUCCGAGUUGUAAUUUUAAGAACUGUUUUCCGUGCUGGACCAUGUACAAGUCUGUUGAAAAACAGCAUCAUUGAGGGUGAAAAUCCCGUACAUGAUAUGGACUACCAGUGCAAUGUGAUACAGUCUCUAAGAGUCGAGUUGUUUGGGAAUGCAGCUCAAAGUGGGUGGUAAAUUCCAUCUAAGGCUAAAUAUAGGUGAGAGACCGAUAGCAAACAAGUACCGUGAGGGAAAGAUGAAAAGAACUUUGGAAAGAGAGUUAACAGUACGUGAAAUUGUUAAAAGGGAAACAUUUGAAGUUAGACUUGUUAUUGUUGGUUCAACUUCUUUAUUGAGGUGUAUUCCAAUGGUUAACAGACCAGCAUCAAUUUUUGGGUGUUGGAUAAGGGUUUAGGAAAUGUAGCAACCUUGGUUGUGUUAUAGUCCUUUA
rnacentral:rRNA from 1 species